AAUAAGAUCAUUUUUCAGUUUUUUGAUACAAUGUUUUAACUCUUCGUCUUGUUUGAAUUUUUUAUGAUUAAUAUGUUUAUUCUUACUAGAUGAUAAAACAUAAAUAGUACUUUAUGCGUGACUAAUUUUUUAAAGUUUUUUUACAAUUUUUUUAAAUAAGACGAAUGGUCAAAUAUUGACACGGAAAAAC
rnacentral:pre_miRNA from 1 species